UAGGGAAUCUUCCACAACGGGCGAAAGCCUGAUGGAGCAACGCCGCGUGUGUGAUGAAGGGUUUCGGCUCGUAAAACACUGUUGUAAGAGAAGAAUGACAUUGAGAGUAACUGUUCAAUGUGUGACGGUAUCUUACCAGAAAGGAACGGCUAAAUACGUGCUAG
rnacentral:rRNA from 1 species